UGGGGAAUUUUGGACAAUGGGCGCAAGCCUGAUCCAGCAAUGCCGCGUGAGUGAAGAAGGCCUUCGGGUUGUAAAGCUCUUUUGUCAGGGAAGAAACGGUUGGGGCUAAUAUCCCCGGCUAAUGACGGUACCUGAAGAAUAAGCACCGGCUAACUACGUGCCAGCAGCCGCGGUAAUACGUAGGGUGCAAGCGUUAAUCGGAAUUACUGGGCGUAAAGCGUGCGCAGGCGGUUUUGUAAGUCUGAUGUGAAAGCCCCGGGCUCAACCUGGGAAUUGCAUUGGAGACUGCAAGGCUUGAAUCUGGCAGAGGGGGGUAGAAUUCCACGUGUAGCAGUGAAAUGCGUAGAGAUGUGGAGGAACACCGAUGGCGAAGGCAGCCCCCUGGGUCAAGAUUGACGCUCAUGCACGAAAGCGUGGGGAGCAAACAGGAUUAGAUACCCUGGUAGUCCACGCCCUAAACGAUGUCUACUAGUUGUCGGGUUUUAAUUAACUUGGUAACGCAGCUAACGCGUGAAGUAGACCGCCUGGGGAGUACGGUCGCAAGAUUA
rnacentral:rRNA from 1 species